rnacentral:rRNA from 1 species
UACGGAGGGUGCGAGCGUUGUCCGGAAUCACUGGGCGUAAAGGGCGCGUAGGCGGCCUGGCAAGUCGAUGGUGAAAGCCCGUGGCUCAACUACGGGUCGGCCAUUGAUACUGCUAGGCUCGAGUCGACUAGAGGCAGAUGGAAUUCCGGGUGUAGCGGUGGAAUGCGUAGAGAUCCGGAAGAACACCGGUGGCGAAGGCGGGUCUCUGGGCCGAUACUGACGCUGAGGAGCGAAAGCGUGGAGAGCGAACAGG